GCAUCCAUCCAGAGACGAUGUUCCGGAGAGGAGGGUUCCAAGUGGAGAAGCAAAAGCGACAACCACGAGAAGGAGGAUAUCGAGAGGAAUAGUCCACACUCCUUGUCUCCUAUCGCCCCCACUUGUCUGGGCUGAGGUGUGUGAAAGUUUCCAUUUGGAGAGGGACACCCCAUCCUCCUCCCUUUUUUCCUGCUGGUCGUGGGGGUGCAUCGCUGGCUGCAGCCGUGGGGAGGAAGAGGCGCAGCAGACAGAGGAGAUCUUCGUUUUUCAAGUUCAGCAUCGAAGAGGUGGAAUAUAGACGGACGAAGCCCCCCCCGCCCCCCUCGCCCCUUGGCUUUUGUCUUUUUACCCCUGAGUCCACACGGAUUAGGCGUGAAGGACGCCGUGCAGCCCCCCCUCUCCCCGCCUCAAGUAAGUUCUGGUCAGAAUUGGGCUCGGAUUCUCUGAGAGACUUGAGGAGGAUUUUGCGUGUGUUGUGGGGGGGACUGAUGGACUACACGUUGCCGCUGGGCUAAAAGACUCCAUCUGUUUGGGCAGCCAUCUUCACAUCUGUGCUCCUCCACCACGAAGAGCCUGGAGUGAAAACCUGUGAACAGCAUCGCACGCAGUGGAGGUGAUCUUACGGCGACAUUUUUAACAGUGACCGGAAAGCCUUGCAGAUAAAGAGUGAAAAUCGGGGAGACCACCGUGAAGAGCGGGCCAUGGCUGAAGGGAUGAUUGCUUCUCAAAGUGGUAAGUUAGUUUAUUCUUCCUACAGUAUUUACCAUUCUGCUCACUCUUACUGUUGCCAGCAAUAGAAGGCGUUCAUUUUACGUUUGUUUUCCCUUAAAUAAAAUAAACACCUUCACCUGCGGUUGUUUGUGCUGCAGUUAGUGGCCUCGAGUCACUAUGUUAGCAAUGCAUGGGAGACGGCGUGCAUUAAAUAUCACUGGCAUCUCAGUUAAACCUUAAUGAAAGAACUUCAUCCCUCUGUGCUCUCCACUCUCUGACAGGCUAGAAAGAACAUUUGGUCUUCUGUUGCCAUGGAGACAAUUGUAUUUGUUCUGAGUGUAGCCGCUCUUGGCUUUCACAAAAUGUCUGACGCACUUCUGCUUUUUUUUCAUGUUAUUUUACUUCUGGUUGGGGAGGUUAAUUGAUGAAGACGAAUGAGUGAGGAUUAAAGAAAAGAUUGUGUGCCUGGGUGUGUUUGUGAUUACAACACAAACUCUGCAGCAGCCAGGGAUGAUAAAGCGAUGCAGAGGUUGUACUUUUUGUUAGCGUGUGUGUGUGUGUGAGUGCAGCACACACACGUAUAUUCACUAUACUGCGAAAAGAGUCUGUGAGUGAAGUCCAGAGUUGGAGAAAAACAUUGACUCACUAACUCGGACGAGUGCUGUCAUGUAGUUUCAGGCUCGGCGAGGUGGUUAGGAUUCCGCACGCGUUUGAUCGGCAUGCUCCGCUGUGUUCUGGAGGGAACAAGGUGCAUGUUUGAGGUGUGCUGGCGUUGUUAUAUAAGCCGGCGUUGACACCAGGCUUUUUUUUCCGGAAAGACGACAGCCGUGCCUUUUUUUUUUUUUCUCACCUACAGUAUGUCACAUUUUGGACUGCUGCUUCCUUACACAUACCUCAUUAUUUUAUUGAUAGAAGCUUUUCUUAACAUGGAAACCCAACGUAGUUAAAAUGUACAUUGGGUUGGCAUUUUAUUGUAGGCGAUCUAAGGCACACCUGCGCAAUAAUCAUGCUGUCUAAUCAGCAUCUGAAUAUGCCGCGCCUGUGAGGUGACUUAUGAAAGAUGAAUGCUCACUAACACAAUAUUUGAAAGAGAGUCUAUGCCGUUUGUGUGCAUAGACAACCUUCGAGUUCAGCUCAUAAAAAAUUAGGGAAAAAAAAAAAAGUGUUGCUUUUAUCCAUCUUUUUUUCCAUUCCGCUUAUCCUCACUAGGGUCGCGGGGGCAUGCUGGAGCCUAUCCCAACUGACUUCGGGCGAGAGGCGGGGUACACCCUGGACUGGUCGCCAGCCAAUGGCAGGGCACAUAUAGACAAACAACCAUUCACACUCACAUUCAUACCUAUGGACAAUUUAGAGUCGCCAAUUAACCUAACGUGCGUGUUUUUGGAUGUGAGAGGAAAGCGGAGUACCUGGAGGAAACGCACGCACGCACGGGAGGACAUGCAAACUCCACACAGAGAGCGGAGAUUUGACCCAGAUCUUCCCGAUCACCUGACUGUGUGGCUUGUGUGACUGUGUGCUAACCACUCAGCCACCGUGCGUCCCGUGUUGCCUUUCUAUUUUUGAAAUGUAUAUAGAUGAGGGGCGUCCAAACUUUUUCCAGCGAGGAGCACAUACUGAAAAAUGAAAGGAUGCGAGGGCCAUUUUGAUAUUUUGUAAAGCAGCACAUGUAGAUAUGCUAAAAAGUUCCCAGAAAAACAUGCAUCUCAGCUUUGUGAUAGAGGUGAAAAACAUUAUUAGUUUGAACUUUGGUCUUUGCUUUUUUCAUGUUUUUGCUGCUGUUUUUUUUUAUGUUAUUUUCAAAAUAUUUCUGCUUUCUUCUUAAAUAAUCUUCAUAAAUGUAAUUUUCGCAAUAUUAUGACUUUAUUCCCCUAAUUACUUUUCCCUCAAACUAAUAUUACAAAAAUUAAAACUUUUAUUUUGUUUUGCUUGUUUCUCAUAAUAUUAUGACUAAUAUCACAAAAAAUAAUUAAAAUAAGUAAUAACCAUCCAUCCAUCCAUCCAUCCAAACAAUUUCUUCCGCUUAUCUGGGUUUGGGUCACGGGGGCUGCAGUCUCAGUAGGGAAGUCCAGACUUCCUGGUCUCCAGCCACCUCUUCCAGUGUGUCCUCUGUCCGCCCUGUGUGGCCUUCUCCUGGCUGGGCAUGCCCGGAACGUCCGGGAGGCAUCCGGACUAGAUGUCCGAGCCACUUCAACUGGUUCCUCCCGAUGUGAAGGAGCAGCGGCUCUACUCUGAGCCCUUCCCGGAUGAUCGAACUCCUCACCCUAUCUCUUAAAGUGAGUGCAGCCACCCUAUAGAGAAAACUCAUUUCCGCCGCUUGUAUCCGCGAUCUCGUUCUUUCGGUCACGACAAAAAGCUCAUGACCAUAGGUGAGGGUGGGAACACAGAUCGACCGGUAAAUGGAGAGCUUUGCCUUUCGGCUGAGCUCUCUCUUCACCAUGACGGUCCGGUACAGCGACUGCAUUACUGCUCCGGUUGUACAAGUACGAAAUGGCACGUAGUAGCAUACCACCCAUGGAGUACUUAUAAUUUUUGUAAAUUGUGACCUGUGACUCUGUGCAUACCCUUUUUGGUUAAUAUUUAUGUAUUCAUUUUUUUUAUUUUAUUUUUAAUUUUUUUUUCGCUCCUUUCACGUUUGUCCUAAAAUAUUCCAAAAAUAUAGUAAAAAAAUAAUAAAUUUUCGGAAUUAAAAAAAAAAAAACUACAAUCAAGUGACGGAGCAAUGUUCGAACCACAAUGUAGCGAGCACGACUGUGGUAAAAAUAAUCAAAUCAAAAAAUAAACUUUUUGACUUUUUCUUCCAUCAUUUUUCUCUCAAUAUCUUUACUUUAAUAUCGUUAAAUUACAGCUGUUUUUUUCUUUUUUUUCAUAAUUAUGACUUACCAUAAUAUUUUAUAUUUAUAUAUACUUCAUUCUUUUAAGAUUACGACAUUCUCCGCAACCUAAAAUGGCAAAUUAACAAAAAUUACAACUUUAGUCGUUGUUUUGUUUGUUUCUACUACAACUUUUUUUAAAAAUCCUUCUUUUUUCUUUAUUAUUUCAAUUGUAUGCUACUAAAAUGACAUGAUUUUUCCUCAAAAUAUUUCUUAUUAUUCUUGUAAAUCUUGUAAAAUUCUUUAGAUUGCAACUUUUUUCUCUCAAUAUUUUGACUUCAUUCUUGUAAAAUGACUGCUGAUUUUUCAGGUUUUGCUGUUGUUUUUUUUAUUUUUGAAAUGUUCUUGUUAGAUUAUAUUUUUAGAAUGUGCCGAGGGCCACAAAUGGCCCCUGGGCCUCACUUUGGUCAUCCCUCAUAUAGAUAUAUUUAAAGAGAGGGGUAGUAGAGGCUUGCAGGCAUGUUGAGUUCUUGUGGAAAAAACAGCAUUCGACUUUGUGAGGGCAGGGCAGUAGCGUCACAAUACUUUGGACACGACUCUGAAGCUUUGACAGUAGGUAGGCGAAUAUGCCGGUUGUCUCACGUUGCUUUGUGGAUGCAGCACCUCAUGCAUCAAACAUACGACGGGAACCCUCCAAGGGGCUUCCAAAGGGAGUUCAGUCCGCCAUAAACAGAGUCAUCCUUACGGUCGCAAGAAGUCCACUGACUUCAACAUACUGUGCUCUGUGUGUCCAAAUACUGUGUUAUGGCACUCCUGGACGUGGCAGCUCGCAUAGAAAUCUUUCUAGACAGAUUUUCUUUACUUUGGGAUUUUGUUUAGUUUUUUUUCUACAUAUUCAGUCUCUUGUUUUUUUUAAGUUAUGUUGAGCUGUGGUUUUAAAGCAAUUUUACCAGUCACAAUGGUGGCCCCAAAUGUUUGUCACCGCUAAUUAAAAUAGUCAAUGACAUUUAAAGACAUGCAGCCUGACUAGUUCUACGUUACAGUGAUCCUCGCUACUUUGAUUUUUGCGGCUUCACUCUGUCACGGUUUGUCAAAAAUAUGUAAAUUAAUAAAUCAUGCUAUUUUGUGGUUGAAUACAGCUUAUUUUUAGUAAACAAUGUAUUCAUAUUUAAACAAAUUUUACCUAUUUUCCCUUAAUGAAGCAUUUUCAAACAUGAAAAUGGCUAAAUGAAGUAAAAUACAAAUAUAAGGCAUUCGGAAGAUGCAUUGAAAGACGUGAUGAUGUGUAGUAUUCACGCUGGUCACUAACACGGGCUACUGUUGAGCUAAAACUCAACUUUCAACCCCCGACGUCACUUCCUGUCUACCUGCCAGUCAGCUUCCCUGGCAUCCAAACACAUUUACAGCAACACACACAAGCAUUAGUAUUACUUAUGUCUUAAAUGGCUUAGUACAGAAACCAGGAGUAAAAUAGAAACAAAAACAAGGAACUCUCCCAAUGCUAACAUGCGCAAAUCUAUUUUAUGUUAUUUAUGUCUCAUAUGUCUUAUUUUCUCUUAUUAUUUCUACUAUAUUGGGUAAUAGGAGUUUAAAGAUGACUAUGGGGUCUUAUUUCAUGUUUGGAGGGCUCUAAUAAUGUUAAAACCUGUAUUUAGACAGUUGAAAAACAAAAAAAAAAAAAAAGGUUUUCUGCGGUCUAGCAAUGAAAAUAUUUCUAUUCAUAAAUAAGGACUCAUACUUCGUGGAAAUGAAUUUAUCACAGGUCUGGAACUAAUUAACCGCGAUAAAGGUGGGAUUACUGUACAUAGUCCCUUUUUAUAGGGGAUCCUCCAGUGAAACACAUCCAACUUUUCAAACCUACAUUAGGUUUGUUUUACUAUGGAACAAGACUAUUUGUGGAUCUUCAAAUAUGUCUAUACUGGGGUGCUCUGAUCAGGGUUGUAUGCUGCUACCGAUCACAUAGAUUAAGUGCACAAUUUUAAAUGUACUCUUGGUUAUAUCAGGGGUCGCCAACGUUUUGUCUUGCGAGAGCUACUUUUACAGAAUGAAAAUGGCCAAGAGCUACUCAUUUUGGCAACAUUUAUUUUCAUAGCUUAUAUCAACCCAAACAAAGCGAAUAUGCUUGUUUUACCAGAACAUCAACAAAAUGCUGGUUUCCACAAAUCACAUUUUGUAUUUCAGAAUGCAUUUCUUUCUACUGUUCUCACAUUGUUAACUGAAAAGCUGAAUGAAAAGCAGGCUUAGAGGCGCCUCAUGUGGUCAUGGGGGGCUCCCUGGUGCCCCUGGGCUAUAUGAUAUGAAAGGGGAACAAUAACAUUUAGAGAAAAACAUAUUUGACUUACUUUUUCAAAAUCACUUGUGAAAUUUAGGAGCAGGCGCCUUCUUUAAGGAGAAUUAAGGAGAAAUGGUGGCGCUCCAGCAGGGCCGACGCAUCCAAUCACUUUUCGGACUAUCCGCCUUAGAUCGGCAUAUGCCGAUACUGUGCUUUUUCACGGGAAUUGAUCGGAGCGGUCCUAGUAUAUCCUUUUUUGUCAUUAUAUAAUUGAGUGCUCCAAAUAUUCUUCAUGAUGUACACUCAACAAAAAUAUAAACGCAACACUUUUGUUUGGCUCCCAUUUUUCAUGAGCUGAACUCGAAGAUGUAAAACUUUUUCUAUGUACACAAAAGGCCAAUCUCUCUCAAAUAUUGUUCAAAAAUCUGUCUAAAUCUGUGUUUGUGAGCGUUCAAAAUUCAUCUACCUCUCAAAUGUGGCAUAUCAAGAUGCUUUAGGUUGGCCACAAUAAAAGGCCACACCAAAAUAUGCAGUUGUACUGCACGGAUAUGCCCAAACGGAUAUUUGAACCUUUGAUCUCCCCUAGGAUCACCUUGUAGCCUGUAGCCUUAAUCGGAAUGCAUUUUUGACAGCCUCAUACAUGCCUGUGUCAACCGAAACUUUAGGUCAUAUCAUCACAUAAACUGGAAAAUGCUCCCAACCAGAAUAUAAAGUCAUCAUUGCACACGCUCACUGCUCAGAUCGCAAAGGAUCGUGGGAUUUGUUUGGGUCUGGCAUGGCGUCGAAUGGAAACGAUAAUGUUUUGCAUUUCUGGAGUGAGGAGGAAACCAUAGGGAUCCUUCAUGACUUAAAUAGAAAAGUUGUUUGGUGUACUUGAAAGGAAUGUUGACAGGUUGUACAAUCAGGUGCUCCUGUCAAUGGCGGCCAUUGUUGAUACCAUGUAUACAAAUGUUUUUCAACAUAUGACGCAAAACUGCCAAGGCAACACAUACAAAAACAUAAAGGCAAGCGUUUUUUUCUUAAGGGUCCAGCUUUUUGGUGGAAAUAACAAUAAAAUGUUUUGUUUUGAUUCUGUGACGUUAUUACCAACAAUAUUGCAAAUACAGCAGAAGCUCUGUUAGGGUGUUUUUAGGUUAUCGUUAAAAAUUUACAUCAAAAUUUAGCCUUUGGUUUGCAUACAUUUUCUGGUUAGUGUACAAUAUGGCAUGAAUCUUUUUUGUGUUAAGACAUUGUGUGAGUCCAAUUGUGUUCUUUAUGUAUUUUUAUCACAACACGCAGCUUACAUGGAAACAGGAACCAGAAUUCAGCUCUGUCGCUUGUCUGUGAUGUCAUCAGCGGUUGACUCUGUAGUGCAGGGGUGUCAAACUCGUUUUCAUUGAGGGCCACGUCGCAGUUAUGGCUGCCGUCAGAGGGCCACUUGCCACCAGUAUAUUUGAAUAUAAAUAUGAAUAUCACCUCAUGAUAUUAUUACACAAUUGUCGAUGUAUUUAUUACAUUUUUACUAGCAAUUGAUGGAUAACUUGCUUGGAAAUGGGUGAAUUGAGUGAAGGGAAAAUGUCAAGGUGACAAGCAGACACGUAUUUGUUUUUGUGGAGUAUCUUGUUGCAUGGUCAGAUAAUAUUCAAGUGUAGAAGAACUGCAUGCGGUACAAUUUUUCUGUCAAAAUGAAAGAGCAAAUACAUUUAGAAGGAAAAAAGUGAAGUACAUUUUUGACAGACAUUAUUCACAGGCUUUCGCAGACCACAUAAAAGGCGAGCCACAUCCUUGAGUUUGACACCUGUGCUGUUGUUUUUGGCUAACUAACACAGUCACACCACAAGUCUCAAAAAUGAACACAAAACACAUUUUUAUUGUUUCCAAUUGUAAUUUUACACGCAUACAACAAUUGUAAGUGUAUGUAAAUAAUGAAUGAAAGGGACAAAUGAACAUUUAUUGGUGCCAAAGACGCGAUGUGGCAGCGAGAUCAACACAGGCACCACCUUCCUGUUUGUGAGUUAUUUCUUGAAUUCAUAAAUGUUUCUCACCUUCUUUAUAAAAAUUCUGGCACUUCCAACUUCCUUUGGCUCCUUGGGGGGUUAUUUUGCAGCUGCGUUGCUCUCGUUAAAUGUUCAUUUAAUCCUUUCACUCAUCAUUUUAUAUGUAUUAAUAUGCCGUUCAAUUUUGUUUCUGCAUGUAAAACUAUAAUUGUAAAACUUUUGUUUUAUUUAGUUUGUUUUAUUUUUGGAUUUCUGGAACACAGUCUUUGUAUUUACAUUAUUUCUUAAUCGUUUUUUCUACCCGUUUCGGUUAGAGUCGGAUCUUCUGGAACGGAUUAAUGAUGCCAACCAAGUUUGCACUGUGUGCUGAUUAACAUUGGUGCGUACACUGGAAUAUUCUUAUUCUUGUCUUAAAGAAACCUGAACGGGAAUAUCGCGUGCAUGUAAGCGUGGCCGUUGUGUUCAUUUUAGAUGACACAGAUACCGUGAGGGUGCCAACAUGAGAAUUAAGACAGCUAAGAGCAGGAAAGGAGGACAGAAGAUAGUCACGGUGACGAGUGUCUUGUGAAAGGGUGAGAUGAAAGAAGAUGAAAGGAUUAAUGUGCACACACCAGCGUCAGUGGAUGUGACAUUAUUUUAUGUUGAAGAUGACAGAAAACACAAGCCGACAAUGUCAUUAUGCGUUAAAACCAUUUUUUUAUACCCCCGAUUAGAUGACGGGGCACAGACGUGGACUCUCUUAUCUUUUUAAGGACUUUGAUGUGUCACAUGGGUAUUAAUUAUGAACGAUGAGCCAGAUCAUCAUAUUGCAACAGCAUUUAUGGCUUCCGGGCCACAUUGGGUUAAAAAAUGUCAAAGGAGGGCCGGCUAUACUGUAUAUAUGUAUACUGUAUAUAUUUGGGCUGUCUAAAAUAAUGUGUUAAUAGCAGUGGCAAGUUUAUGUAAUUGAUUACAUUAAACUGUUUAGAGUGAUGGAUGCUGAGGGACUGUCUUGGCCGACACGUCUCUUCAACAUUGCAUGGAAGUCAGGAACAUUCCCUCUGGAGUGGCAGACCACCUUUUUAAGAAGGGUGGCCAGAGGGUGUGUUCCAACUAUAGGGGAAUCAGACUCCUCGACCUCCUUGGGAAAGUCUAUUCCAGGGUGCUGGAGAGAAGGGUACGACCGCUACAGGAGUUGCAAUGUGAUUUUCGUACCAGUCGUACAACACUGGACCAGCUCUACACUUUUGCAAGGGUACUGGAGGGUACAUGCGAGUUUGCCCAACCGGUCUACAUGUGCUUUGCAGACUUGGAAAAGGCAUUCGACCGUAUCCCUCGUGGUGUCAUGUGGGGGGUGCUCUGGGAGUACAGGACUGGUGGCGCGCUACUACUGCCAUUCGGUCCUUGUAGAACCGGAACAGCAGCCUGGUUCGCAUUGCCAGCAGUAAGUCCAGCCUGUUUCCGAUUAACAUUGGCCUGAAUGUUGGCCUCCACCAAGGCUGCUCUUUGUCACCGAUUCUGUUCAUAAUUUGCAUGGACAGAAUUUUAGGCGCUGCCAAGCCGUCGAGGGAGUUCAAUUUGGGGGCCUUAGGAUCUCGUCUCUACUAUUCACAGACGAUGUGGUACUGAUGGCCUCAUUGGGUUGUGAUCAUCAGUGUUUACUGGGGUGGUUUGUAGCUGAGUGUAAGGCUUCUGGGAUGAGACUCAGCACCCCCAGUCGGAGGCCAUGGUUCUCACUCGGAAAAGGGUGGAUUGCAUCAGAGAAAUAUAUAGUUGACUUUGUGUCAAAAAGGUAUUUAAGACACGCCCUGAUUGAUUUAUGGCCCCCUGUCAUAAAAGUUUAUGUUAUGGCAAUAAAACAAACAUUUAAUACAUUGUUUGAGUUCUUUGCUCAGUCCGUGCCAUAAUUGUGUUCCACAAGGUUUUGUGUUGUUUUUGCAUGCAAAUGUUUAAGUAAAAUUUUUCCCUCUUAUUUUGCCAUUGAGAUUUUUUUUUUUUGUAGUAGUAGUAGUAGUAGAGGGUAUAGUUUGGAUUGGAAUUGUAGCAGAUCAGUGAAUUUCAAUAAUUGUGAUGCACAGAAAACAGGAUG